rnacentral:rRNA from 1 species
UACGUAGGGUGCAAGCGUUGUCCGGAAUUAUUGGGCGUAAAGAGCUCGUAGGCGGUUUGUCACUUCGGAUGUGAAAUCCCGGGGCUUAACCUCGGGUCUGCAUUCGAUACGGGCUGACUAGAGUGUGGUAGGGGAGACUGGAAUUCCUGGUGUAGCGGUGAAAUGCGCAGAUAUCAGGAGGAACACCGAUGGCGAAGGCAGGUCUCUGGGCCAUAACUGACGCUGAGAAGCGAAAGCGUGGGGAGCGAACAGG